rnacentral:rRNA from 1 species
CAUUUUUGGUGGCGCGGCGGGAGGUGCACCCUUUUUUUUGCGCUCCCGCGUGGCGUGGUGUGCUCGCUUUAUCACGCUCGCUCGCUCGGCCGGACGUAGAGGGGGGGAGGCGGGCUCGGUAGCAGAGGGGGCGAGGGGGGCUCGGUGUUCGUGUGGGUAAGGGGAGGGGAGGUUUGGAUCGGCGGGGCGAGGGGAGGGAGAGGUGCCGCGGCGGCGGAGGAGGGGAAGACGGGACGAGAGGUGGCGCGGCGGAGAAGGAGGGGAAGUGAUAAGAGAGGUCGCUGCCGUUUCUAGACCGCCGUUUCCCUCUGCUGCUCCCGCGAGCUAGGCUAGACGACUUCUCUUUUCUACUCUCCCUCUCUCUAGUGGCCUUCCUCACGGCGGCCGAGCAGCAGAAAGUAUGGAUGUGUGCGUUCCCACAACUCUCCUCAAUCUCCAGCACGCGGCCGGCCUCGUCGUCCUCGUUCCUAUACCGGCGGAGAGAAGAGACGGUGCCAAGGGAGGAGAAGGAAGUCGAGAGCUCUACAGCUGGACGUCCAAAUCCGUUUGGUAACAAACUGUUGUUUAUACGCCUCCGCAAAAAUACCUACACGUAAAGUGGACUUAGACCUCUCGAUAAGUUAGACAGCGCCUGUAAAAACCACCUUAAGUCACGAAGUCGUCGAACCCUCGUUCAUCUUUAUGGACUAAACUACGAGUACGAAGGUUUUAAAAGUGUAAAGCGCUCUCGAUCCGCAUGAAGAACUACUGGAACGGCAGAGGUUGGGUAGGCUAAUAAUACCUAAAAGACUUCCACCACCACCCCCAACGUGCCGUACAAGGUAGACCAAAGUCCUCACACACGACGUGGACUUUUUUAAAGAGCCCGUACUCCAGAGGCUCAGCAAAUUUAGACUUGCGUUGUGGUUCCUACCACCGUUGUCUCCCUGAGAAACCACGGCCUCUCGAGCCCUAAGUAGUGGGGAUUGACUUAGUUGGGACGAUAGUGUCGAAGCACGAAUACCACGCCGACGCACCUUCGGCUGCUGUUCAUGCCGGCGAGAGAUGAACGGAGAUUAUACAUACAGAAUUGAGGGAGCUCUUUUCCUCAGAAACGUUCUACCGCCACUACGUCUGGUCCUUGCGUAGCCUGUACCUGCGAGACGCCUUUGAGCCGAGACGGUCGCGGUGGAGCCACUCCUCCUUCUGCGAGACGCUGUAGUGGUUGGACUCCGCCGGCGACCGCCGCCGUCCUGCCCAACUCCAUGCGCCUGCCGUACCUACCCUAGUGAACCAACCAGUUCCGUUCUAAACGACUGGGCUGAGGUGGCGGCAGAGAAAGAACCAAUACUGAUACUACACAACGCCAGCGAUCGCGACGAGAAAAAAAGAACUUAGAUACACACAUUUACGUUCUCUUAAGCCUAGAACACUUCGAGGACCUCCUCUCUCAUAAAAGGAAGUAGCUAACAAGAGAAAACAGAUCCUACCUAUCCCGAAGAACUACACACCAACAAGACCACAAACUGAGAUAAACCUAACUAAACGUAUCAUAUGUAGUGCCGAGGUAUCAUCUGUAGGUACAAAUUUUGAUUCUAGUCUAUAAACUUAACAGUCUGAGAAAACGAGUAACAGUCUGGUACUGAUGCCGAAGGAUAAUUUCAACACACCUUACGAUGAUUUUUCACCUGUUCUAAUACGAAGUUUACAUAAGAAAUAAGAGGAUCGGGGAAGUUCCGAAGACCGAUUACAAGCGGCUACACGAGGACUUUCAACGUUCUACCGUGAUAUACCCCUGUUGGUAGUCAGUAGCGAGUCAGAGUUCUAGCGGUA